rnacentral:rRNA from 1 species
CCUUAGUACGGCGAGUGAAGCGGCAAAAGCUCAAAUUUGAAAUCUGGUACCUUUGGUGCCCGAGUUGUAAUUUGGAGAGGGCAACUUUGGGACCGUUCCUUGUCUAUGUUCCUUGGAACAGGACGUCAUAGAGGGUGAGAAUCCCGUGUGGCGAGGAGUGCGGUUCUAUGUAAAGUGCCUUCGAAGAGUCGAGUUGUUUGGGAAUGCAGCUCUAAGUGGGUGGUAAAUUCCAUCUAAAGCUAAAUAUUGGCGAGAGACCGAUAGCGAACAAGUACAGUGAUGGAAAGAUGAAAAGAACUUUGAAAAGAGAGUGAAAAAGUACGUGAAAUUGUUGAAAGGGAAGGGCAUUUGAUCAGACAUGGUGUUUUGCGCCCUCUGCUCCUUGUGGGUGGGGGAAUCUCGCAGUUCACUGGGCCAGCAUCAGUUUUGGUGGCAGGAUAAAUCCGUAGGAAUGUAACUUGCUUCGGGAAGUAUUAUAGCCUAUGGGAAUACUGCCAGCUGGGACUGAGGACUGCGACGUAAGUCAAGGAUGCUGGCAUAAUGGUUAUAUGCCGCCCGU